rnacentral:ncRNA from 2 species
CACAAUCUUUGGGGCAGGUGAAAUUCCUGACCGGCGGUGACAGUCCGCGAACCCCUUUGGGGCCGACCCGGUGGAAUUCCGGAACCGACGGUAGCAGGCAGAUGUCUGGACAGUCCGGAUGGGAGAAGAUGGAU